GUGCUCACUUCGGCAGCACAUACACUAAACCGUGCAGAGAUUAGCGUGGCCCCUGUGCAAGGAUGACUCGCAAGUUCGUGAAACGUUCUGUAUUUUU
rnacentral:snRNA from 1 species